rnacentral:hammerhead_ribozyme from 1 species
AUCCAGCUGACGAGCCCCAAAAAAGGUGAGACGCGCGUCCUGAAU